CCUGCCCCUUGAGGCACUGGGGAGGGUUGCUAUGACACAAAUUCAUCAGUAGGUAGCAGAGAAGAGAGAGGCUAUGUCUACACUCAGUGUUCUGACCUACGAACAUCUGAAUGAUUAGUAGCCUAACAUUCCCUGAUA
ensembl:snoRNA Gm22789 small nucleolar RNA SNORA17